rnacentral:rRNA from 1 species
UACGUAGGGGGCAAGCGUUGUCCGGAUUUAUUGGGCGUAAAGAGCGCGUAGGCGGUUCGUACAGUCAGACGUGAAAUUCCCGGGCUCAACCUGGGGGCUGCGUUUGAUACGUGCGGGCUUGAGUUCGGAAGAGGGUCGUGGAAUUCCCAGUGUAGAGGUGAAAUUCGUAGAUAUUGGGAAGAACACCGGUGGCGAAGGCGGCGACCUGGUCCAUUACUGACGCUGAGGCGCGACAGCGUGGGGGAGCAAACAGG